UUGCACUGAGCAUGGUUUUGGAUGCCAAGUGCCCGGCCGAGAAAAGAGCACUGAGGAAGGAGCCAUUUGUUGUUCCUUUUGAGGAGAAAGAUUCACCAAGGAAGUAAUGUCAGAGGUAGGCCUGGAAUUUCCACCAAUGGUAGGAUGGCAUUGCCAGGAAGGCAAAGAGCAGAAGCAAAGACCUCGAGGCGUCAACGUACCCAGGGUGUUGGACAUGUGUCCUGCAGUGACUGGGGUAGAGGGUGAGGCAGAGAUAUCGGAGAUGAGGGCAAAAAGAGAAGUAGAUAAAGGAGGGGAGUGGUCCCAUCCUCCAGAGAGCAAAAAGAUCUUUAAGAGAAUGAGCUGGCAAGUUGGAAGUGAGGUAAGGAGGGAAUUUCUUGUGGCAUUGGUUUUCUAUUUAAAUCUCCCCAUCCAUUUCUAUCCUGGCUUCCUUUGCCAGGAAGCCGUAGGUCCUCAGCUGCAUCUGUAGGGUGAGACUGGGUCCUCAGGCAUUGCAGGCUGGGGAGUCAGCGCUUCAGGCGUCACACUGGGACUUGUCCAGGGGCUGUGGGGAGCAAAGAGAUGCGGUGUGAUCCAGAGACCCAGGUCUGAGUCCCAACCUGUCGCCUGAGGCAUUUGACUUGUCCUCUUUGGGGGCCAGUGUUUUCCUGCAUGGCAUGAAGAGUUGGGACCAGGGGUUCUAUAUUUUGCCCUCAAGAAACUGCCCCUGUAGUUACAUAGUCAAGGCCAAGGCACAGGAAGGAAUCUGAAACAAGGCUGGGGGAAUUGUUGGAAACAUCUCAGAAGGGAAGCCCUAGGCAGUUGGAGGGUUGACACAUGUGCUCUGGGUCAAUGUGGGCAGAAAGUGGGCAGAAAGUGGUCCCAGACCCUGAGUGUGAUCACCACGGACAAGCAGUCUAGACAAAGCACGUCUUGUGAGGCAGUGCCUCAGUUUCCCUCUGUGGGCUGAGUUGGGCCUGAAAGUCAGAAGUAGGGAUGAGAUAAGAGCUCCACUGGCAUUUCCUGAGAACUUAAGGGAAGGGGAAGGAGAACAGGAUUGAAGCGAAUAGGGCAUAUGGUACACACCUUCUGGGUUAUUACCAUCUAUACUCAAUAAUCUCAAUAAUCCAAGAAGGAUAUCAUCAUCACUAUUUUUUGCAGGCAGAGAAACCAUGUUCAGAGAGGUUAAGAGACUUGCCCAAGGUCACACAGCUAGUUUGAGGCAGGGUGAGAUUCAAACAUAGGUCUGCCUGACUCCAUUGCUCAGUGUCAUCUGCUGUUAGUCAUUUCUGGUUCAUUGUCCUUUUCCAUAAUGCAGCUUUUCAGCCUAAUGGGUGGUGAAAUAUUUCCUUAAUUUCUCCCUUGAGCGUAUCUCACAAAAAGGAGCUGACCAGAACUUUGUGAUUCAAGGCCAGGUACAUUAUGACCUCUUCUUGCAAAAAAUGUACUAACAAUCCCAGUCACCUCCAGGUCCCUGUGAAGGCUACUGAGAUACUCUAAAUGAAUAGAGUUCACCUCUUUAGAAGGAAAAGUCCAUCUGAGGCCUUCCCUCCACCCCCUACUAGUAAUAAUGACACCAAGCAAAAUACUUCCUGUUAGCUCCAAGCAUCUGAUUCCCCUUCCAGUGGCUGGAGAACAUCCCACCUUCUGAGCCUUGGGGAGAAGCAGAGUGUGCCCUUUCCCUGCCCACUGGAGAAGCUGAAACAACAAAAACUCCCUUCCCUGGCCUCCCUGCAGGAGACUCCAGGAAGACUCCUGAAUGCCACACACUCCUAAACCUGAGAGACCUUCAUGCAGAUUGGGGAGCAGCUUUAGGACUGCUGGGUGGAGCCACAAUGAGACAGAUAAGCUCCAGGAAAAUAAGAAGUGCCGAAACAAUGGAGCCACCCAACAAAAAGGGCUGCCACUGCAAGUGGUGAGCUUCCUGUUACUGGAGUAAGUCAAAGAUGGUGUCGAAAAUGGUGAAAUCAAGAACUAGUGCUUAGAAUUAUGGAGAUUUAAAAACAGAAGAGACACCUCCCAGAGUUGCAAGUGGUCGCCUGUCCCAGAGAGCUGGUGAGAUGAGGUGGGGAGGUGGCAGCUGAGUUUUAUGGUGAGAAAGUGGAGUUCGAAGAUGUCAUCAGCCCAGGUCACACAGAUGGUGGAGACCAGUGUGGAGCCCGGGAGUGGGCUGAGCAGAGCAUCUGGACUUUGAGCUUCCAUCAGACCCUGAGAUAGUCACCUGUCCUGGCUGCCUGGUGACCCUGGUGUGCUAACGUGGCACUUAUCUUGCUCUAUGGAGGCCCCUGGGCCCCCUAAACACCAGGUGGGUGCCUUCAGCCAGCCCCAUACUGACCUGUGAAGCCCAGGUAUUGCUGGCCAACCCACCCCACUCACAGACAGAAGCAGUUCUCCAUCUUUUGGCUUUAGCAGAUCUGCUUCAUUUCUCCUCCCCACAAAGCCUGGACUUUGUUCUGGGGGUAUCCCUGUUUGCAGUGAAGCUUUUUCACUCAGUGCUCAAUCUGAGCCCAACUCCACCCCACAUCUCUGAUUCAUAGACUUUUGUGACUGCCUUGACCAGUAGAGUAUGGCAGAAGAUGCUCUGUAACUUCCCAGGCUAGAUCUAGAAAAUGCCACGCAUUUCUGCCUUGCUCUCCUGCGACAUCCACUCUUAGAACCCAGUUGCUGUGCUAAAAAGAACUCACAGACCACGUGGAGUGGAGCAGAUGGGUCAGUGUCCCAGGUGGCAGCCCGUGUCGGCCUCAGACCUGCACGUGAGGAUGCCCACCAGAGGGUUCCUGCCACCACCGUCAAGUCACCCCAGCCUUAAUCUUCCAGCCGGCGCCUCAGGCAUUAUGGGCAGAGGUAAACUGUCUCCAUGAUGCCCUUUCCAAAUUUCUGACCCACAGAAUCCAUGGCUAUAAUAAAAUGGCUGUCUUAUGUGCUCAA
rnacentral:lncRNA from 1 species